GCGGGUGUGGCGGAACCGGUAGACGCGCCAGACUCAAAAUCUGGUGACCGCAAGGUCGUGGGGGUUCAAGUCCCUCCACCCGCACCA
rnacentral:tRNA from 1 species